CAGCCGCCGCGGUAAUACCAGCAGCCCAAGUGGUGGUCGCGAUUAUUGGGCCUAAAGCGCUCGUAGCCGGGCCGGUAAGUCCCUUGUGAAAUCGGACGGCCUAACCGUUCGGCGUGCAAGGGAUACUGUCGGUCUUGAGGCCGGGAGACGUCCGAGGUACUCCGGGGGUAGCGGUGAAAUGUUCUGAUCCUCGGGGGACCACCGGUGGCGAAGGCGUUCGACGAGAACGGGCCUGACGGUGAGGGGCGAAGGCUAGGGGAGCAAACGGGAUUAGAUACCCCCGUAGUCCCUGUCUCUUAUA
rnacentral:rRNA from 1 species